AGAGCGAACGCUGGCGGCAGGCUUAACACAUGCAAGUCGAACGGACCCUUCGGGGUUAGUGGCGGACGGGUGAGUAACACGUGGGAACGUGCCCUUUGGUUCGGAACAACACAGGGAAACUUGUGCUAAUACCGGAUGUGCCCUUCGGGGGAAAGAUUUAUCGCCAUUGGAGCGGCCCGCGUCUGAUUAGCUUGUUGGUGAGGUAAAAGCUCACCAAGGCGACGAUCAGUAGCUGGUCUGAGAGGAUGACCAGCCACAUUGGGACUGAGACACGGCCCAAACUCCUACGGGAGGCAGCAGUGGGGAAUCUUGCGCAAUGGGCGAAAGCCUGACGCAGCCAUGCCGCGUGGAUGAUGAAGGUCUUAGGAUUGUAAAAUCCUUUCAGCGGGGACGAUAAUGACGGUACCCGCAGAAGAAGCCCCGGCUAACUUCGCGCCAGCAGCCGC
rnacentral:rRNA from 1 species